rnacentral:rRNA from 1 species
UACAGAGGUCUCGAGCGUUAGGCGGAAUCACUGGGCUUAAAGCGUGCGCAGGCGGUUUUGUAAGCCAGAUGUGAAAGCCCCGGGCUCAACCUGGGAAUGGCAUUUGGGACUGCAAGGCUUGAGUGCGGCAGAGGAGACUGGAAUUCCUGGUGUAGCAGUGAAAUGCGUAGAUAUCAGGAGGAAUACCGAUGGCGAAGGCAGGUCUCUGGGCUGACACUGACGCUCAUGCACGAAAGCGUGGGGAGCAAACAGG